UGCCAACUAGGAAAGAAAGUCCUCAAUUACACAAUGUGACAAAAGCAGAAAAACCUGCAAGAGUAUCAAGAGAAGCUUCUGAAGAUGUACCAGCUUCAACGAAAGCUAAAGAAGAAGCUGAAGAUGUGUCUUCCACAAAGAAGCAAAAAAGCCCCAUCAGCUUCUUCCAAUGUGUCUACUUGGAUGGAUACAAUGGCUAUGGAUUUCAGUUUCCUGUCACUCCUGCACACCGCCCUGGAGAGAGCUCUGGCCAACCAAGUACUCCAGAACAGAAGCAACAAGGACGAUAAGACACAUAUACACAGCCCUUACAAGUGCUUUAAGACUUUGAAAAUAGGAUCUUCUGUUUGUCCAGAGUGGCACGUGCAAUUGAAAUCAUAUAGUCCAGGGAAUUUCUCUGAAAAUAUUUUACCCUCCUGCCUGGUGUAGAAAGAAAGAGUGAGCAAAGGGAUCGAAUGAUAAGUAGACGAGUUGGAGGGUCUGGCGCUCAAGAAUCUGUCAUUUGUUUGUUGCUGGGUGUGGGUACUUAUAUUUUUCUAUUUCCACUCGCUGUAGGGUUGUUCACAAAUUAGGUUACAUUUUACUUAAUAAUGGUCUUUUAAACAUAAUUGACACAAUGACAAAAUGAAAUUUCUGGCUUCAGUUAGAUAUUUACUUUGAAGUGAAAACACGGACUAUGCUUCAAGUUUAAAGGGUGUAGGAGCUCAUACAAAGGCUGCUCUUUUGCAUCAUGUAGGUGUCUAAACUCAAUUUACCCAGUAAGCUGAUGUUUAAUAGUUUGUUUUAACAUCUUUAUUGGAUUACAAUUGCUUUACAAUGGUGUGUUAGUUUCUGCUGUAUAACAAAAUGAAUCAGCUAUACAUAUAUCCCCAUAU